GGUACACACACUCUGUGUAGUGAUGUAAUAGUGGUGUCAGGCAGGAGAUGCUGCAGUCAUCAGGAGGAACGAGUUCAGGCACAUCUCAGGAAGGAAUGUUGCUCAGGGAUGGAUGCCUUUCACGGUUGUUUUCCCAGCUGGCUGAAGGUUCAUCUCAUCUGGAAUUAUACCUGACAAACUCAGCUGCUGACCCAUCUAGUUGGCCCGGAUACCCACACACAGCCACAUCUCCUCCCUCCACUCAUCCUAGGUGAGAAGAGACCUCCAUUUCAGUGCCUCAAAUGACAAGCUCUGGUGCAACAAGAACUCGCUGGAAGCAAUGACUCUGCUUAAACCACACUGAUGUCCCCACAAGCUUACGGGGGCAUUUUGGGAAAUAUUAAUGUCACAACCUCUGAAAGAAACUUCUGCUCUCGUGUGGAGCAUCCCUUCCUUCCAGAGAUGUUGGAAGAACAAGUUCUUCUCUCUGCACCUGAACUCCUUGUCUCCAAGAUCAGAUGGAAAAUUGGGUUCCCUUUGGGGGCUCUCCAGUCCUACGCACAGCUGUGGAAAGAAAAAAAUAUUGGACCAAACAACAAAAUAUUAGAUAAUUUUAGACAGUGCCACAUGUCAGCCAAGCAAUGCAGAUGUACUAAACCUAUGCUCACUGCUGAGACUGUGAGGUUGAUGCUUUUUAGCAGGGAGAGUAGCCUGCUCAAUGCUGCUGAGGGCAAGCAACAGCAAGACCAGGGGCAACCCUAUCUUGAUCCAGUAUGGGAAGCAGGAAUCUCCAGGUGUGGAUACAUUGCAUAGCCCACAUUCAACAGGGGUAAUGGUAGUGGAGGCUGCAUGUGGUUUUCGCAGUCCUGCACAACAGCCUUGGAGACAGCCUCCAAGGCACUACUGUGGCCCCAAGAGAGCUCACUGAGAUGCUACAGCACAUUGGAAUCAAGAAAACACAGAAAAAUAAACCUACCCAGAACUCAUAUCCUCAUGGCUGUGUGUGGGGCUGAGAGCAUCUGCCACAAUGAUUGUUGGCAAAAAGAGGUGAUUUGGGAAGGAAAUGCACCGGAGAAAUUAAGCCCUUUAAUACAGGAUAGAACAGAGAUCUUUAAGGUCACAGCUGAUGGCAGCAGGGCUGGUGAUGCCUCUGUGCCUGACAACGUUCACGUCCAGCUCUGGGAUGCACCAAACUCAACCCAAAGUGGGGUUCUUGCACUGCUCUCUAGCACCAAGAAUUCCAGCUGUCCCCAGCAAAGAGUUGCCCCAGGCCCAGUCCGUGCCAACAAAAACCUGUGCAGCAGUCAUAAGAUUACAACCCAGCUGUGGGCAUCAGGUUAAGUCUCC
rnacentral:lncRNA from 1 species